rnacentral:tRNA from 1 species
GCGGCCGUGGUCUAGCCUGGUCUAUGACGCCUCCCUGUCACGGAGGAGCUCGUGGGUUCAAAUCCCAUCGGCCGCG